UAUUGGUCCUUUCGCGACGAUAAAUUGUGAACCCCGUCAGGCCCGGAAGGGAGCAGCGGUAACAAUCAAUGCGAGCGCCGAAAUGCGGCUCUUAGAG
rnacentral:SRP_RNA from 1 species